rnacentral:rRNA from 1 species
AUUGAACGCUAGCGGCAUGCCUUACACAUGCAAGUCGAACGGCAGCACGGGGGCAACCCUGGUGGCGAGUGGCGAACGGGUGAGUAAUGCAUCGGAACGUGCCCAUCGAUGGGGGAUAACUGCGCGAAAGCGUUGCUAAUACCGCAUACGACCUACGGGUGAAAGCAGGGGACCGCAAGGCCUUGCGUCGAUGGAGCGGCCGAUGCCGGAUUAGCUAGUUGGUGAGGUAAAGGCUCACCAAGGCGACGAUCCCGUAGCUGGUCUGAGAGGACGACCAGCCACACUGGGACUGAGACACGGCCCAGACUCCUACGGGAGGCAGCAGUGGGGAAUCUUGGACAAUGGGCGAAAGCCUGAUCCAGCAAUGCCGCGUGUGGGAAGAAGGCCUUCGGGUUGUAAACCACUUUUGGCGGGAAAGAAAUGGUCUGUGCUAAUACCACGGAUUGAUGACGGUACCCGCAGAAUAAGCACCGGCUAACUACGUG